AGUGAACGCUGGCGGUAGGCCUAACACAUGCAAGUCGAACGGCAGCACAGUAAGAGCUUGCUCUUACGGGUGGCGAGUGGCGGACGGGUGAGGAAUACAUCGGAAUCUACUUUUUCGUGGGGGAUAACGUAGGGAAACUUACGCUAAUACCGCAUACGACCUACGGGUGAAAGCAGGGGAUCUUCGGACCUUGCGCGAUUGAAUGAGCCGAUGUCGGAUUAGCUAGUUGGCGGGGUAAAGGCCCACCAAGGCGACGAUCCGUAGCUGGUCUGAGAGGAUGAUAGGCCAAACUGAAACUGAGACACGGCCCAGACUCCAACGGGAGGCAGAAGUGGGGAAUAUGGGAAAAGGGGCGCAAGCCUGAUCCAGCCAUACCGCGUGGGUGAAGAAGGCCUUCGGGUUGUAAAGCCCUUUUGUUGGGAAAGAAAAGCAGCAGGUUAAUACCCCGCUGUUCUGACGGUACCAAAAGAAUAAGCACCGGCUAACUUCGG
rnacentral:rRNA from 1 species